rnacentral:rRNA from 1 species
CAGCUUGCUGCUUCGCUGACGAGUGGCGGACGGUGACGUAAUGUCUGGGAAACUGCCUGAUGGAGGGGAUAACUACGGAAACGGUAGCUAAUACCGCAUAACGUCGCAAGACCAAAGAGGGGGACCUUCGGGACCUCUUGCCAUCAGGAUGUCGCCCAGAUGGGAUUAGCUAGUAAGGUGGGGUAACGGCUCACCUAGGCGACGAUCCCUAGCUGGUCUGAGAGGAUGGCCAGCCACACUGGAACUGAGACACGGUCCAGACUCC